UUAAGGGGCGGCGACAUGGCGGUCAUGUGAUGCGGCUAACCGCAUAAAAACAGCGGCAACAUUAAUAUCGGCCUCUUUCCUCUGUCUUUGGUCGGCAUUAAUAUGCACGGGGGAAGUUCCUCAAACGGUUCUCUACAUUGACUUUGUCCAUGAGGUCCGUUCUUCCGGAGCUCUUCACCGUCCGUUGGGUGUCGACGACGAGGCUGUGGCGGAGUCCACGUUGCUGACCGUCACGUCCUUGCACCGCUUCGUGGCCGUCUGGUCCAGCGACGUCCCCUCGAAGAGGCGCG